rnacentral:rRNA from 1 species
UACGGGGGGAGCAAGCGUUGUUCGGAUUUACUGGGCGUAAAGGGCGCGUAGGCGGCGCAACAAGUCACUUGUGAAAUCUCCGGGCUUAACCCGGAGCGGCCAAGUGAUACUGUCGUGCUAGAGUGCGGAAGGGGCUACUGGAAUUCUCGGUGUAGCGGUGAAAUGCGCAGAUAUCAGGAGGAACACCGGUGGCGAAGGCGGUUCUCUGGGCAUUACCUGACGCUGAGGAGCGAAAGCAUGGGGAGCGAACAGG